UGCAAGUCGUAACAAGGUAACCGGGAAGCUUGCUUCCGCUGACGACCGGCGCACGGGUGCGUAACGCGUAUGCAACCUACCUCUUACAGGGGAAUAGCCCGAAGAAAUUCGGAUUAAUACCCCAUAGUAUUACAGAUUCGCAUGAUGAAGUAAUUAAAGAUUUAUCGGUAAGAGAUGGGCAUGCGUCUGAUUAGAUUGUUGGUGAGGUAACGGCUCACCAAGUCGACGAUCAGUAGGGGUUCUGAGAGGAAGAUCCCCCACACUGGCACUGAGAUACGGGCCAGACUCCUACGGGAGGCAGCAGUAGGGAAUAUUGGUCAAUGGAGGCAACUCUGAACCAGCCAUGCCGCGUGUAGGAAGAAUGCCUUCUGGGUUGUAAACUAUUUUUAUAUAGGAAGAAAACGCCAUGCGUGGUAAUAUGACGGUACUAUAUGAAUAAGCACCGGCUAACUCCGUGCCAGCAGCCGCGGUAAUACGGAGGGUGCAAGCGUUGUCCGGAUUUAUUGGGUUUAAAGGGUGCGUAGGCGGUUUAUUAAGUCGGAGUUGAAAUCCCACAGCUUAACUGUGGAACUGGCUCCGAUACUGGUUAACUUGAGUAUGGUUGAGGUAGGCGGAAUUUAAGAUGUAGCGGUGAAAUGCAUAGAUAUCUUAAAGAACACCAAUUGCGUAGGCAGCUUACUGGACCAUAACUGACGCUGAGGCACGAAAGCGUGGGUAGCGAACAGGAUUAGAUACCCUGGUAGUCCACGCCGUAAACGAUGA
rnacentral:rRNA from 1 species